rnacentral:rRNA from 1 species
GAUGAACGCUGGCGGCGUGCCUAAUACAUGCAAGUCGAGCGAACAGACGAGGAGCUUGCUCCUCUGACGUUAGCGGCGGACGGGUGAGUAACACGUGGAUAACCUACCUAUAAGACUGGGAUAACUUCGGGAAACCGGAGCUAAUACCGGAUAAUAUAUUGAACCGCAUGGUUCAAUAGUGAAAGACGGUUUUGCUGUCACUUAUAGAUGGAUCCGCGCCGCAUUAGCUAGUUGGUAAGGUAACGGCUUACCAAGGCAACGAUGCGUAGCCGACCUGAGAGGGUGAUCAGCCACACUGGAACUGAGACACGGUCCAGACUCCUACGGGAGGCAGCAGUAGGGAAUCUUCCGCAAUGGGGGAAAGCCUGACGGAGCAACGCCGCGUGAGUGAUGAAGGUCUUCGGAUCGUAAAACUCUGUUAUUAGGGAAGAACAAAUGUGUAAGUAACUAUGCACGUCUUGACGGUACCUAAUAAGAAAGCCACGGCUAACUACGUG